GUCAGUGUGAUUUGGAGAGGGGGGUGAAACUGUGUUUCUCAGAGAUGGACUCUACUGUGUAAACAUGACAAAAUUGUGCAUGUGAUGCCGUCUGGAACAAGCUUGCAUAUAGAGAAGGAGUAAGAGAUAUAUAAACAAUAUGCAGAUAUUCAUGAAUCCUCAAGAGAUAAAAAGAAAGACUACAAGUAAACAACUCGGAGGAAGCAGGACAUCAGUACUUGGAGGUUUGGGGCCAAAAUGGUCUGGAGAAACGUUUGGACCUUACAGCUCUAAAUAAACAUGGAAAAGUGUACGAAGAUGCUCAGUUUAGCUUGACAACAAGAGACAGGAGAGUAUCACCUCACCAGGGUCUGGAGCAAGAGCAC